rnacentral:rRNA from 1 species
GAUGAGUCCGCGCUCCAUUAGCCAGUUGGCGGGGUAACGGCCCACCAAAGCUACGAUGGAUAGCCGGCCUGAGAGGGUGAUCGGCCACACUGGGACUGAGAUACGGCCCAGACUCCUACGGGAGGCAGCAGUAGGGAAUAUUGCGCAAUGGACGAAAGUCUGACGCAGCAACGCCGCGUGGGUGAUGAAGCAUUUCGGUGUGUAAAACCCUGUCAGUGGGGAAGAACCGUGCGAGGAGUCACUGCCUUGCACCUGACGGUACCCACAGAGGAAGUCCCGGCUAACUCCGUGCCAGCAGCCGCGGUAAUACGGGGGGACAAGCGUUGUUCGGAUUUACUGGGCGUAAAGGGCGCGUAGGCGGACCGACAAGUCGGGUGUGAAACCUGCCAGCUUAACUGGCAGCCUGCAUUUGAUACUGUCGGCCUUGAGUACAGGAGAGGAGAAUGGAAUUCCAGGUGUAGCGGUGAAAUGCGUAGAUAUCUGGAAGAACACCGGUAGCGAAGGCGGUUCUCUGGACUGAUACUGACGCUUAAGCGCGAAGGCUUGGGGAGCAAACAGGAUUAGAUACCCUGGUAGUCCAAGCGGUAAA